UGCCCUCUGAUUUUUUGGACCAAUUUUGAAGGGGGGACAUAAACUUUGAAAAAUAUUUGCAACGGCCUUAUCUGAAAAAUCGAAACACUUUAGCUGAGAAACAUAACAUCAAUAAACUUAUUAUAUUUAUUCAGCAAUUCCCCACGAAAACAGCAUAAUUCGAAAAAUAAAGUUUUCCGAUCGGGCUCAAAAUUGGAGUGGGCCGGAUUUCUUUGUUUGCUUUGUUAGGGUGGUCUGAAACAUGGUAAUUUAAGUUUAUUUUCGAAAAAAUACAACAUCUAUCUAAAAAAAUCAUUACUCUACGUUAUUUAAACCACAUUUAGUUCUCAUGGAUGCAAAUAAAAAGUGAUUGAUUGGGCUUUUUGAGAAAAAUAGUUUUAAAAAAACCCUCAUAUUUGAAAAGGUGAAAACUUGAAAUGCGGGUUUGAUCAUAUUUUUAUUAGAUUCUCCGGGCAAUUUUACACAUCAUAUCUCAAAUGGAAUCCCGCUAUGUGUUUAUUUAAAAAAAAUAAAAACUGGGUUUUGCGAAGCGUCUCGCGUAGAAACGGGAAAAUGACGAAAAAACAAAUUGUUUUCACUUAAACUGUGAUAACUUUAAAACUUAAACGAGGACCCAAAAAGGGUACUAAAAUUUUCGUUAUUGAAAGACGCUGCAUAACAUGUAGAUCUAUAAGUUAAGAAUAAUAUUUAACCAAUCUAAUCAAUUCAAACUCCUCAGCACAAUCCAAUCAAAAUCAUAAAAAAAAUAAUUGCAAAUUGCCCAUCCACUCCUUC